ensembl:lncRNA
CCAUUUCUUGCCACUCCCCUCGCUAAAACUGGGGCAAACCUUCUGACAGUUCCCACUGCUGCAGACAGUCCCCUCUCUCAUAGUUAACUGCUUCGCUGCUGGCCCAGCAGCCGCAGCUGCCCCGCGUUGCCACAUCACACUGAUGCGUCCUUGAAGCUGAGGAAAUGUCAGCAGGACAUACCUGUAACUCACUAGCAGGAUUCUGUUUUCAAGAUAGUUUAUUUCCUAACCAGUUUACAGAGUUUCUGAGCUCACCAAGACCCUAUUGUGAGUGGCGCUAGACAGCAAUGCAACACUGGCUGUACUUAUUCAAAAGGAUUAAGCCUAAGCCUGUUGCUGAGUACUCAGAGGUGCCAGAGGCUAGGUUUGGGUAGACAACGGAAAGCAGCAGUCUCUUUGUCCAACCUACCCAGUGGGAGAGACCUCAGCUGUCCAGAAUGGAAGCUGCAGGUCAGUACAUCUGCUUGUCUUCUGUACUUAGAAAUACAGUUAAAGGAAACAAAACUCCGUGACUUCACCUUUGGAUUAGUACUGAAAUUUUGCCUGUGUGUUAUUCCCCUAAUUACAAUUCCCAAAUUGUGGAGUGCAAUGAGAAAAAUAAGUUAUGCUGCUAACUACAAGUGUGAAAUGGAAAUGUAGCUACAAGAAAUUGAAUUAUUUCCAGAAAGAAUAAUUUUCCAAAGCUAUUGUUCAUUUAACAAAUACAAGAAAAAUGUGACAGUCAAUGAAAGGGAAAAUUACUGCUGAUCUUUUUUUUUUUUUUUUUUUUUUAUUUCCAUUGAUUAGGUAAUGUUUUAUACCACUUUGCUGACCUGACCUAGAGCACACCCAUAUAAAGAGUUGCAUUGGCACAACUGAGCAGAAAAUAAAUUGGGGAUGAGGUUGAGAGAGUCA